rnacentral:lncRNA from 12 species
CCCUCGUCCGAUAUCUACUGCCUCUUAGAAAAUGUCAAGGGGGUACAUGGUGACAUAGGGACCCCGGUUUGGUUACGGAGAGACUCUUGCUUCGCUCUGCGAAAGAGGGAUUGGCCAGCUACUGAUGGUGAUUCCCAAGACAUGCAUGUGAUCACUACACAGUUUAACCAGGGGUACACCUCUGGGCCUAUAAAUGAGACUAAAAUGGUGGAAUAGAAGAAAAGACAAGAGGAUGAAAGCCAUCAACAAUGCUCUACCCUGGGGAAAUAAGUACAGGCCAUUUUGAAUUGGUGAAACAUUAAGACCCAGCUCUAGCACUCCACUAGUGUGAAAACUUCUCCAUUGGAGACUUAACCUGUAAAUGCAUAAGCUAUGGUCAGCAGAUUUAAUAAGGGGCUGACAUAUCAGAGCAGAAACCCUCAACUCAUGUGAAAUAAUUCUCUGGACCAGACACUGGACAUUUUGUCCCUUGGCUAAAGGGAAAGGGUUUAUAACCCUACUUAAAUACUGUGAGGCUCCAUCCAGCCUAGUUCAAACUCAAGUGGUACCCCAAGCU